rnacentral:rRNA from 1 species
UACAGAGGUCCCGAGCGUUAGGCGGAAUCACUGGGCUUAAAGCGUGUGUAGGCGGAUUUGUAAGUACCUUGUGAAAUCCCACGGCUUAACCGUGGAACUGCUUGGUAUACUGCUUAUCUUGGGCCAUCUAGGGGCUACUGGAACAAACGGUGGAGCGGUGAAAUGCGUAGAUAUCGUUUGGAACGCCAAUGGUGAAAACAAGUAGCUGGGGAUGUGCCGACGCUGAGACACGAAAGCCAGGGGAGCAAACGGG